rnacentral:rRNA from 1 species
GUGGGGGAUAUUGCACAAUGGAGGAAACUCUGAUGCAGCGACGCCGCGUGAGGGAAGAAGGUCUUCGGAUUGUAAACCUUAGUAGUCAGGGACGAAUAAAUGACGGUACCUGAAGAGUAAGCUCCGGCUAACUACGUGCCAGCAGCCGCGGUAAUACGUAGGGAGCGAGCGUUGUCCGGAAUUACUGGGUGUAAAGGGUGCGUAGGCGGGACAGCAAGUCAGGCGUGAAAUACCGGGGCUUAACUUCGGGGCUGCGCUUGAAACUGUUGUUCUUGAGUGAAGUAGAGGCAGGCGGAAUUCCUAGUGUAGCGGUGAAAUGCGUAGAUAUUAGGAGGAACACCAGUGGCGAAGGCGGCCUGCUGGGCUUUAACUGACGCUGAGGCACGAAAGCAUGGGGAGCAAACAGGAUUAGAAACCCUAGUAGUCC